UACGAGGGGUGCAAGCGUUGCUCGGAAUUAUUGGGCGUAAAGAGCUCGUAGGCGGUGUGUCGCGUCGGCCGUGAAAACCUGCAGCUUAACUGUGGGCUUGCGGUCGAUACGGGCAUCACUGGAGUUCGGCAGGGGAGACUGGAAUUCCUGGUGUAGCGGUGAAAUGCGCAGAUAUCAGGAGGAACACCGGUGGCGAAGGCGGGUCUCUGGGCCGAUACUGACGCUGAGGAGCGAAAGCGUGGGGAGCGAACAGG
rnacentral:rRNA from 1 species